GAUCCUGGCUCAAGACGAACGCUGGCGGCGCGCCUAACACAUGCAAGUCGAACGAGAGAGGAAGAGCUUGCUCUUCUGAUCGAGUGGCGAACGGGUGAGUAACGCGUGAGGAACCUGCCUCAAAGAGGGGGACAACAGUUGGAAACGACUGCUAAUACCGCAUAAGCCCACGGCUCGGCAUCGAGCAGAGGGAAAAGGAGCAAUUCGCUUUGAGAUGGCCUCGCGUCCGAUUAG
rnacentral:rRNA from 1 species